rnacentral:rRNA from 1 species
UACGGAGGGUGCAAGCGUUAUCCGGAUUCACUGGGUUUAAAGGGUGUGUAGGCGGGCAUUUAAGUCAGUGGUGAAAUCUCCAGGCUCAACCUGGAAACUGCCAUUGAUACUAUUUGUCUUGAAUAUCGUUGAGGUAGGCGGAAUAUAUCAUGUAGCGGUGAAAUGCUUAGAUAUGAUAUAGAACACCGAUUGCGAAGGCAGCUUACUAAACGAUCAUUGACGCUGAGGCACGAAAGCGUGGGGAUCAAACAGG